rnacentral:rRNA from 1 species
CGAGCGGUAGAGAGAAGCUUGCUUCUCUUGAGAGCGGCGGACGGGUGAGUAAUGCCUAGGAAUCUGCCUGGUAGUGGGGGAUAACGUUCGGAAACGGACGCUAAUACCGCAUACGUCCUACGGGAGAAAGCAGGGGACCUUCGGGCCUUGCGCUAUCAGAUGAGCCUAGGUCGGAUUAGCUAGUUGGUGAGGUAAUGGCUCACCAAGGCGACGAUCCGUAACUGGUCUGAGAGGAUGAUCAGUCACACUGGAACUGAGACACGGUCCAGACUCCUACGGGAGGCAGCAGUGGGGAAUAUUGGACAAUGGGCGAAAGCCUGAUCCAGCCAUGCCGCGUGUGUGAAGAAGGUCUUCGGAUUGUAAAGCACUUUAAGUUGGGAGGAAGGGCAUUAACCUAAUACGUUAGUGUUUUGACGUUACCGACAGAAUAAGCACCGGCUAACUCUGUGCCAGCAGCCGCGGUAAUACAGAGGGUGCAAGCGUUAAUCGGAAUUACUGGGCGUAAAGCGCGCGUAGGUGGUUUGUUAAGUUGGAUGUGAAAUCCCCGGGCUCAACCUGGGAACUGCAUUCAAAACUGACUGACUAGAGUAUGGUAGAGGGUGGUGGAAUUUCCUGUGUAGCGGUGAAAUGCGUAGAUAUAGGAAGGAACACCAGUGGCGAAGGCGACCACCUGGACUAAUACUGACACUGAGGUGCGAAAGCGUGGGGAGCAAACAGGAUUAGAUACCCUGGUAGUCCACGCCGUAACGAUGUCAACUAGCCGUUGGAAGCCUUGAGCUUUUAGUGGCGCAGCUACGCAUUAAGUUGACCGCCUGGGGAGUACGGCCGCAAGGUUAAAACUCAAAUGAAUUGACG